rnacentral:tRNA from 1 species
GGCUCCGUGGUCAAGCGGUUAAGACAUCGCCCUUUCACGGGUGUAACGUCGGUUCAAAUCCGGCUGGAGUCA